GGGGCGGGGAGACCUGGCGCUCACCCAGCGAGCUCGACUGGUGCUGACGUCCGUUCAGGCCUUUAAAUGUCUCUGUCCCUGGGCAGGAGGGAACAGACUUUGUAGCAGUCACUUUGCCCAAAGGGAGACGCGUCUCUGCUUUUGCAGGCGGCAGCUCGGACUCCCCUCGCUCUUCCCAGCGCAGCGUUUACCUCCUGUCUUUGCCUCGAGUUCCCCGCAGCCUCUCCAGCGGGAGGCGCUUUUGGUAUUCGCACCCCGGGCGUGAACCAACAGGACUCCCCCUGCCCUGUGCUUUUUCAGUAGGUUCGAAGAUCAGAGAUUGCGAGGUGCGCUCGGUGAUCGCUCAAGUAGCGGGGAGCUUACACCCCCUGAUUUUGGUAGGGAGUGAUUUUGUUUUUUCCCGAGCUGGCGAAAACGUCCUCACAGCUCCUGAAGCUGCAACUUGUUUUGGUUUCUUCUCAGUCCUGUGUGUGGUUACAACAUCAAAGUUUUUCUCCCUUACCCUUCCAAAAAAAUCUAUCCUUUUAAUCUUCCCCCCGCGCUGUCUCCGCCAGGCCUUCUCGCUGUGCGGUGAGUGGAUAGCUGGGCGCGCAGUGUGGCAGUGGCGGCGAAGAUUGGCGCUAUCAGGAGGAGCAAAAGGGAAGGAUCUGCUGCUGGGGGCUCCCUGGGUGACCCUUUGCUAGGCGAAAAGAACCCGUCGAGAGAGAAGCGCUUGGCAGGAGCUCUCUGCGGGACAUAAGCUCCCUGGCUGCUCGGGAUCCCUACGUCCGCUGCUGCGGAAGGAACACAGGGGAGGACGCAAGCGGUUGCUUACUGGAGCCUGGAGCUGAAUUGUUUAGGAUCCAUUAGAUGGAGACCAUGACUCUAAAAAUAACUGAAACUUCAUAAUGGUGACCAAUUAAACAGAUAUCGUGACCCUCAAUA